GGUUAAGCGACUAAGCGUACACGGUGGAUGCCCUGGCAGUCAGAGGCGAUGAAGGACGUGCUAAUCUGCGAUAAGCGUCGGUAAGGUGAUAUGAACCGUUAUAACCGGCGAUUUCCGAAUGGGGAAACCCAGUGUGUUUCGACACACUAUCAUUAACUGAAUCCAUAGGUUAAUGAGGCGAACCGGGGGAACUGAAACAUCUAAGUACCCCGAGGAAAAGAAAUCAACCGAGAUUCCCCCAGUAGCGGCGAGCGAACGGGGAGCAGCCCAGAGCCUGAAUCAGUAUGUGUGUUAGUGGAAGCGUCUGGAAAGGCGCGCGAUACAGGGUGACAGCCCCGUACACAAAAAUGCACAUAUUGUGAGCUCGAUGAGUAGGGCGGGACACGUGGUAUCCUGUCUGAAUAUGGGGGGACCAUCCUCCAAGGCUAAAUACUCCUGACUGACCGAUAGUGAACCAGUACCGUGAGGGAAAGGCGAAAAGAACCCCGGCGAGGGGAGUGAAAAAGAACCUGAAACCGUGUACGUACAAGCAGUGGGAGCACGCUUAGGCGUGUGACUGCGUACCUUUUGUAUAAUGGGUCAGCGACUUAUAUUCUGUAGCAAGGUUAACCGAAUAGGGGAGCCGAAGGGAAACCGAGUCUUAACUGGGCGUUAAGUUGCAGGGUAUAGACCCGAAACCCGGUGAUCUAGCCAUGGGCAGGUUGAAGGUUGGGUAACACUAACUGGAGGACCGAACCGACUAAUGUUGAAAAAUUAGCGGAUGACUUGUGGCUGGGGGUGAAAGGCCAAUCAAACCGGGAGAUAGCUGGUUCUCCCCGAAAGCUAUUUAGGUAGCGCCUCGUGAAUUCAUCUCCGGGGGUAGAGCACUGUUUCGGCAAGGGGGUCAUCCCGACUUACCAACCCGAUGCAAACUGCGAAUACCGGAGAAUGUUAUCACGGGAGACACACGGCGGGUGCUAACGUCCGUCGUGAAGAGGGAAACAACCCAGACCGCCAGCUAAGGUCCCAAAGUCAUGGUUAAGUGGGAAACGAUGUGGGAAGGCCCAGACAGCCAGGAUGUUGGCUUAGAAGCAGCCAUCAUUUAAAGAAAGCGUAAUAGCUCACUGGUCGAGUCGGCCUGCGCGGAAGAUGUAACGGGGCUAAACCAUGCACCGAAGCUGCGGCAGCGACGCUGAUGCGUUGUUGGGUAGGGGAGCGUUCUGUAAGCCUGCGAAGGUGUGCUGUGAGGCAUGCUGGAGGUAUCAGAAGUGCGAAUGCUGACAUAAGUAACGAUAAAGCGGGUGAAAAGCCCGCUCGCCGGAAGACCAAGGGUUCCUGUCCAACGUUAAUCGGGGCAGGGUGAGUCGACCCCUAAGGCGAGGCCGAAAGGCGUAGUCGAUGGGAAACAGGUUAAUAUUCCUGUACUUGGUGUUACUGCGAAGGGGGGACGGAGAAGGCUAUGUUGGCCGGGCGACGGUUGUCCCGGUUUAAGCGUGUAGGCUGGUUUUCCAGGCAAAUCCGGAAAAUCAAGGCUGAGGCGUGAUGACGAGGCACUACGGUGCUGAAGCAACAAAUGCCCUGCUUCCAGGAAAAGCCUCUAAGCAUCAGGUAACAUCAAAUCGUACCCCAAACCGACACAGGUGGUCAGGUAGAGAAUACCAAGGCGCUUGAGAGAACUCGGGUGAAGGAACUAGGCAAAAUGGUGCCGUAACUUCGGGAGAAGGCACGCUGAUAUGUAGGUGAAGUCCCUCGCGGAUGGAGCUGAAAUCAGUCGAAGAUACCAGCUGGCUGCAACUGUUUAUUAAAAACACAGCACUGUGCAAACACGAAAGUGGACGUAUACGGUGUGACGCCUGCCCGGUGCCGGAAGGUUAAUUGAUGGGGUUAGCCGCAAGGCGAAGCUCUUGAUCGAAGCCCCGGUAAACGGCGGCCGUAACUAUAACGGUCCUAAGGUAGCGAAAUUCCUUGUCGGGUAAGUUCCGACCUGCACGAAUGGCGUAAUGAUGGCCAGGCUGUCUCCACCCGAGACUCAGUGAAAUUGAACUCGCUGUGAAGAUGCAGUGUACCCGCGGCAAGACGGAAAGACCCCGUGAACCUUUACUAUAGCUUGACACUGAACAUUGAGCCUUGAUGUGUAGGAUAGGUGGGAGGCUUAGAAGUGUGGACGCCAGUCUGCAUGGAGCCGACCUUGAAAUACCACCCUUUAAUGUUUGAUGUUCUAACGUUGACCCGUAAUCCGGGUUGCGGACAGUGUCUGGUGGGUAGUUUGACUGGGGCGGUCUCCUCCUAAAGAGUAACGGAGGAGCACGAAGGUUGGCUAAUCCUGGUCGGACAUCAGGAGGUUAGUGCAAUGGCAUAAGCCAGCUUGACUGCGAGCGUGACGGCGCGAGCAGGUGCGAAAGCAGGUCAUAGUGAUCCGGUGGUUCUGAAUGGAAGGGCCAUCGCUCAACGGAUAAAAGGUACUCCGGGGAUAACAGGCUGAUACCGCCCAAGAGUUCAUAUCGACGGCGGUGUUUGGCACCUCGAUGUCGGCUCAUCACAUCCUGGGGCUGAAGUAGGUCCCAAGGGUAUGGCUGUUCGCCAUUUAAAGUGGUACGCGAGCUGGGUUUAGAACGUCGUGAGACAGUUCGGUCCCUAUCUGCCGUGGGCGCUGGAGAACUGAGGGGGGCUGCUCCUAGUACGAGAGGACCGGAGUGGACGCAUCACUGGUGUUCGGGUUGUCAUGCCAAUGGCACUGCCCGGUAGCUAAAUGCGGAAGAGAUAAGUGCUGAAAGCAUCUAAGCACGAAACUUGCCCCGAGAUGAGUUCUCCCUGACUCCUUGAGAGUCCUGAAGGAACGUUGAAGACGACGACGUUGAUAGGCCGGGUGUGUAAGCGCAGCGAUGCGUUGAGCUAACCGGUACUAAUGAACCGUGAGGCUUAACCUU
rnacentral:rRNA from 1 species